AUGUUACAGCACAUUCUCACCAUUCAAAGAUCACACAGCAAGAAUAAAGGCCACAGUUUUUAUUUACUAUGUGCAUCUUCUGGAUGUGCUCAGCUUUCAAGAGAAAUAAAUCUGGAUACAGCUUUAUUUUGCAUUAUUCCUCAGCACACAGAAUUAAAGUGCAGUAAAAGGUUCAGAUUUGGUACAGCACACUGUCAUAAAAAAAAGAUAAAAUCUAUUUUUGUUAUUAAUUCAACUCAAAAAGAUGUCAGUCUGGGGGCAGUUUGCAUUUGACCAAGAAAAAUACAGGAUCCAAAUGGGAUCCAAAUUGUCAUGUUGUAGGAGAAAGUUUCUUCCUGUCCAGCCCUAUAUACCCCAUCAAUACAUAUCACAUGUCUCCCUGUGGCUACCUAUUAGUUUCCUGGCUCUUUCUCCAAGAUAGAAUAACCAUUCUUUCCUUGCAAUUUGCGGGUCUUAGCUCAGCUGAAUUCUUUCCUUCAUUGCUUCAAAGCACCCAGCAGAUCUGGCAGUGUCUGCUAUUGGCUGAUCUAUGAGUGCUGCACCCAGAAGGGUAGAGCAUUUAUUAACACCGCUAUGAAAACCUGACCAGAGAUCUGCAAAGACCCAACCUGCAAAGAGCCUUUUGAUGGUAGUGUAGUUGAGAUGGACUAACAGCAGAAAGGAGACAGUUUAAAGAAGGUAAAAAAAAUGGCUAGCAGGAAACGAGGAAAGGCUAACACAUACCAAUGAGUGCUGCAAUACUAAAACACUAUUCAGAGAUGUCUGGAUAAACAAAACAUCUGAACAUCUCUACUUGCCCCAGAAAACUUAGAUGGAAGUACCAGCAUGUGGGCUGAGGGGACAAACUGGGAAGGCAAAGUAUUCAACAUCCCUAGAACAUGUUGUGCAUAUUGUAGUGACUGCAAGAGCUUGGCCAUGCUGAAUUUGUUAUGCUUAUAUCAUGCAACUAAUCUGCAUGUAUAUAGGUCAACUGGUCUGGACAUCACUUCUCACUUUGGUCAGGCUAUCACAGGUCCUGAAACGCUGGAUUUAUGGCCACUUUCCACUUCUAUUUCUUGGAAGAACUUUCUAAGUGAAAAUAGAAGACAAGUCUAAUAGAAGAGAUGGUUGCCCUAUCUCUAAAUCUCAAGGAUUGUGAUCCAAUUAGUUUUGUAUAUAUUUCAUUUUUUCAUAACCAUUUUCUCUAUUAUCAGAGCAUCUUUCUACAUAACUUCAUCAACUAUUUUACUCAAAGAGAUAUAAAGGAAAAAUAUAUGAAAAUAAUCUUUACCAU
rnacentral:lncRNA from 1 species